rnacentral:rRNA from 1 species
AUUGAACGCUGGCGGCAGGCCUAACACAUGCAAGUCGAGCGAGCGGCGGGCGGGUGAGUAAUGUAUGGGGAACUGCCCGAUGGAGGGGGAUAACUACUGGAAACGGUAGCUAAUACCGCAUACCAUCGGAUGUACCCAGAUGGGAUUAGCUAGUAGGUGAGGUAACGGCUCACCUAGGCGACGAUCCCUAGCUGGUCUGAGAGGAUGAUCAGCCACACUGGGACUGAGACACGGCCCAGACUCCUACGGGAGGCAGCAGUGGGGAAUAUUGCACAAUGGGCGCAAGCCUGAUGCAGCCAUGCCGCGUGUGUGAAGAAGGCCUUAGGGUUGUAAAGUACUUUCAGUGGGGAGGCGUUACCGGCAGAAGAAGCACCGGCUAACUCCGUGCCAGCCGCCGCGGUAAUUC